rnacentral:rRNA from 1 species
AGUAACACGUGGAUAAUCUACCCGACAAUCAGGGAUAACAUUUCGAAAGAAAUGCUAAUACCUGAUAAGCCUACGCCCUCCUCGGAGGAAAUAGGAAAAGGUGGGGACCUUCGGGCCUGCCGUUGUCGGAUGAGUCCGCGGCCCAUUAGCUAGUUGGUAGGGUAAUGGCCUACCAAGGCUACGGUGGGUAGCUGGUCUGAGAGGAUGAUCAGCCACACUGGAACUGAGACACGGUCCAG